rnacentral:rRNA from 1 species
GACAGAGGUCCCGAGCGUUAGGCGGAAUCACUGGGCUUAAAGCGUGUGUAGGCGGAUUUGUAAGUACCUUGUGAAAUCCCACAGCUCAACUGUGGAACUGCUUGGUAUACUGCUUAUCUUGGGCCAUCUAGGGGCUACCGGAACAAGUGGUGGAGCGGUGAAAUGCGUAGAUAUCACUUGGAACGCCAAUGGUGAAAUCAGGUAGCUGGGGAUGUGCCGACGCUGAGACACGAAAGCCAGGGGAGCAAACGGG